rnacentral:lncRNA from 1 species
AAAAAAAAAAUCAACACUUCUUCUUAGAUACAUAAGAGAAGGAAGAUCACAAGGGAAACUACUGCCCCCAGAAUUGGAGGGACAGAUAGGCAGAUAAAGAGAAUCACAACUUGCUGGAGCAGAAACCUAUGGGCUGAAACAUCCAUUGGAACCAGUGCCAGGGUAGGAAAACCUGAACUAUACAUUGAUUUAUUUCUGGAGGCUCAGUGUCAACAAGUCAGAGAUAAAUCUCCCAGAGGAUCCAGAAGUAGGGAGUACCAUACUUUUAUGGGUUUUACCUCUGGAAGCUCUAAUACAUUCUUACAUUGAAUAUCUGAGAAAAAUUUCCUCACGCUUUGGCAAGAGGAGAAAAAAAGGAAGCAUUUUGAAAUAGAGCAAUGCAUUCUUUUUUUUUUAAACAGGGUCUGCCCUCAGGGGAAGCUGUCUAACCAGAGCCUAACCCACUAGGGUUUUAUCAGAACCUAACUGACCUGAGGAAAAGAAAUACUCAACUCCAGCAAGCUCCAGCCUUCCAAAUGGAGGAGGAGAAAACCCAACUCCAGCCCACUUCAGCUAUCUUGUCCCACAUAAAGGGGAAGUGGAAGAAACCUGAGAAGCAGGCAUGAAGUUCACAGUCCAGAGACCUUGCCAUCGUAUCCCCUUUUGGAGACACAAGCCAGGAAGGAAGCUCUUCAGUGCAGCUGUGAAUAGAGAAAUGCUGGCUGAGGUUUUGGAGACACUGGGUGAUCAUUCCCAGUGAAAUUUUUAGAUCCCUGGGGACAUGAGCUGCUUUGUCUUUUCCAAGGCUGAAAAAGUUUUGGAAGCCCUCCUAAGCAGGUGCCAGACCCUUUUUUGGCCAGAGUUGGAGGAACUGGUUAUUUUCCCAGGGCUUUGACUGAAAUGGCCUUGUGAAUGGUUCCAGGAAAGCCAAUUUUGGAGACCCUAUGUGGAUGAUGAUGCUUGCUGUACUUUCUGUGGGUAAUCGGGCCAAGUAUAUGGGACUGAAGCUAAUUUUGCAGGUGAGAAAAUGGAGGUCCAGAGAGAAAAGUGACUCACCCAAGCUGAAAACAGUUGCAGGAAGAAAAGCCAGGACAGAACUGGGCUGUUAGAAACCUUGGUAGUGCACUUUUGAUUUCACUCUUAAAAUGCUCAAAUGUCUUUUUCUGACAACAUGUAGGGAGACCUGAGGUUGGACCUAAAGACACCAUAUAUUGGAUUCAGUGCUUCACACAAGUUAAUCUAAAUUUACCUCAAAAACCCAAUACCAUAUUUUGUCGAGCAGGCAACUGAGGCCCGGAGCAGCAUGCCAACUUGCCCAAGGACACUCAGUGGCUCAAAGCUUAUCUUUAUCAGCUGUUUCUAGGCCCCAGGUUCCUGACAACAUUCCAGGUGAAAGGACAAGCUGGAACCAUUGAGAAACAAAUGAGCAUCUUGUAAACCCAAAAUACAAGACCUUGCUAAACACCAGAGCUUGCCCGCAGCCAAGUUGUGAGACUUAAAAUUUGUCUUUAGGGCAUACAGCCACAUCCACUCACCCCCCACACACCAAGGCUUCUGGAACAUUUCUUUCUGCUUUAGAUGUCUAUUUCCAAGUGGUUAAAAAAAAAAUAGUGGCUGAGGAUCAGAAUCCCAAAAUUUUGCGUUUUGCUUUGCUACCAACAUCUUGCAUGUUCUUUGUAGUUACUUUACCUUCCUUUCCUUUAACUUCUUUAUAUCUGCAAAAACGAUGAAGGAGUACACUAAAGAUGAGGAACUGAGUCACCGCAAUGCCAAAUGUAACACGCUGUGGGUCAAAAUUUGGAUGGUUGCGUUGGAAAUUAUUCUGAAGCCACAGACAGGGCUAAAAGGUAAGUAUGAAUAAUUAGUAAUGCUUGCCAUAGACAGAUUAAAGUGUUGACAUCACAUAGGACAAGAAUUUGCCACCAAUAGAUGAGAGGAUUGUUGAUGUCCUUGAAUUGGAAAUGAACGAGCUAAUUGGUUAGUUACUUAUUCACUCUAACCCAGAAAGCAGCAGCUUGUGAAAAAAGUUUUUGCUGGUAACACACAGGAAAUAGAAAAUUUAGUAUUUUUUCCAGUGGAAAAGCCCUCUUGUAUCACCAAGCAGAAGAGAACAUGAUGUCUUUUCUUUUGAUGUAAUUUAGGAUGAUUCACAAAGUGUUCAUAGCAGGGAAGCUGAUGGAAAAGUGACAUGCCCCUAGACUUGAGAGAUGCUCUCUAAGUUUAAAAAGGAAACAGCUUAUUGUAAAAUUUAUUUGAAUCCUACAACCUUCCCAUAUCUGUGUAAUUAGCAAAAAGACAAGCUGCAACCAGAGAGGUAAAGUAUCAAUUUAUCUCAUACUUAUUUAUUGAGAACAUCCUCUGAGCUGUGUACUAUGUUAGGCAGAGAAAACAAACAAUAAGCAAGACACAGUCCCUGACUCCAUAUGAUUAUCAGGGAGGCUAGGAAAAGUCAUCUCUGCUUGGACAACUCCUUUCCAGAAAUACCUCUCUUCUCUUAAAGGGACAUGCACAUGUACAUAUUAUAAUAAAUGAA